rnacentral:misc_RNA from 1 species
UUUCCGUAGGUGACCUGCGGAAGGAUCAUUGUCGAAACCUGCACAGCAGAAUGACCCGCGAACCGGUGACAACCGACGGGGGGCAGGGGGCGCCCGUCGCCCCCUCGCCCCCCCGCUACGGGCGGGGACCUCGCGUCUCUCUCCCGCAAACCGAACCCCGGCGCGGAACGCGCCAAGGAAAUCGAAAACAAGAGAGCCACGCCGGAGGCCCCGGACACGGUGCGCCCUCGGCGUCGGCGCCUUACUAAUUAUCCAAAACGACUCUCGGCAAUGGAUAUCUAGGCUCUCGCAUCGAUGAAGAACGUAGCGAAAUGCGAUACUUGGUGUGAAUUGCAGAAUCCCGCGAAUCAUCGAGUUUUUGAACGCAGGUUGCGCCCAAAGCCAUUCGGCCGAGGGCACGUCUGCCUGGGUGUCACGCAUCGUUGCCCCCACCAAACGCCAGUUCGGGGCGGGGCGGAAGCUGGCCUCCCGUGCGCGCGCGCGCGCGCGGUUAGCCUAAAAGCGAGUCCUCGGCGACGAGCGCCACGACAAUCGGUGGUUUUUCGACCCUCGUUCCCUGUCGUGCGUGCCCCGUCGCCCGAACGCGCUCUCUAGACCCUUGCGCGUCGCCUCGGCGGCGCUCCCAACGCGACCCCAGGUCAGGCGGGACUACCCGCUGAGUUUAAGCAUAUCAAUAA